rnacentral:lncRNA from 1 species
UUUGUCCAAGCAUUAAAUUGCGUGCCUUUUGUUCCUUGAAGAAGGAGCUGGUGCUAACAAGUCCCAACUCGACCCCUGGACCCAGCUCAAAACUCUGGAUUCAUUCUCUUCCUUCCCAUACCUCAGCCUAAGCUUUCUGUCUCCCCAAAGGGUACCACAUGAUCUUCUUCUCAAGUCCUCACUUUCUAGAAUCUCAAGGUAUGUUCAGGGAGGAAGUGGGCAGAUUUAUGUCCUUUACUUUCUUACUUAGGGCAUAAGAGAUGCUUAUUAAAUGCUUAUUAAAUGAAUGUCCCCUAGGCAAAUUCCUCUUUAAAA